rfam:Fulmarus glacialis contig110927, whole genome shotgun sequence.
GUUAAAAGCUAGGGCUAGGACUUGGAGGAUGUGUAGGCAAACGGAAGGAGAGCCGGGGGAAGAAAAACCGAAAUGGAUUCAUUCUCUGUCCUGGAUGGAGGAGGAGAGGAGAAGAGAAGGGGACGUGCGAGCUUCCUUCAACUGCCUCUGUCCGGGGAAAAGUGCUCAGACCCCCGGGGCUGAGCGGGGCUCAGGAGUCCGCGCGGACUUUCGCUUUAAGCUGCCAAUCAAACCGCUAACUAGCCACCACCCUGCUCUGGCACCGACAU